CCUACGGGUGGCAGCAGUGAGGAAUAUUGGUCAAUGGGCGAGAGCCUGAACCAGCCAAGUCGCGUGAAGGAUGACGGCCCUACGGGUUGUAAACUUCUUUUGUCAGGGAGCAAUUGAGUCCACGUGUGGUCUUAGCGAGAGUACCUGAAGAAAAAGCAUCGGCUAACUCCAUGCCAGCAGCCGCGGUAAUACGGAGGAUGCGAGCGUUAUCCGGAUUUAUUGGGUUUAAAGGGUGCGUAGGCGGAAUAUCAAGUCAGCGGUAAAAAUUCGGGGCUCAACCCCGUCGUGCCGUUGAAACUGAUGUUCUUGAGUGGGCGAGAAGUAUGCGGAAUGCGUGGUGUAGCGGUGAAAUGCGUAGAUAUAUGGAAGAACACCAGUGGCGAAGGCGGCUGUCUGGUCUGCAACUGACGCUGAGGCUCGAAAGCAUGGGUAGCAAACAGGAUUAGAUACCCUGGUAGUC
rnacentral:rRNA from 1 species